rnacentral:rRNA from 1 species
UACGUAGGGGGGCUAGCGUUGUCCGGAAUCAUUGGGCGUAAAGCGCGCGUAGGCGGCCAGAUAAGUCCGGUGUGAAAGUCACAGGCUCAACCUGUGAAUGCCGCUGGAAACUGCCUGGCUUGAGUCCGGAAGGGGCGAGUGGAAUUCCUGGUGUAGCGGUGAAAUGCGCAGAUAUCAGGAGGAACACCAAUGGCGAAGGCAGCUCGCUGGAACGGUACUGACGCUGAGGCGCGAAAGCGUGGGGAGCGAACAGG